GCGGGAGUAGUGUAGCUGGUUAUCACUUGACCUUGCCAAGGUUAGAACUCGGGUUCGAAUCCCGGCUCCCGCA
rnacentral:tRNA from 1 species